GGCGGCGUGCCUUAUACAUGCAAGUCGAGCGGAGAUUGGCUCUUUUUCAGGUAGCCUUCGGGCUAUUUUGAAUUAGAGUCGUUCUUAGCGGCGAACGGGUGAGUAACGCGUGGGUAAUCUACCCUUGAGAUCGGGAUAACACUUCGAAAGGGGUGCUAAUACCGAAUAACGUCAUUCUACUCAGGUAGAAUGACCAAAGGUUGCGUUUAGCUUCUGCUCAAGGAUGAGCCCGCGUCCCAUCAGCUUGUUGGUAGGGUAAUGGCCUACCAAGGCUAUGACGGGUAGCCGGCCUGAGAGGGUGUUCGGCCACAUUGGGACUGAGACACGGCCCAGACUCCUACGGGAGGCAGCAGUAGGGAAUUUUCCGCAAUGGGCGAAAGCCUGACGGAGCGACGCCGCGUGGGGGAUGAAGGCCUUCGGGUUGUAAACCCCUGUCAGAAGGGACGAUGUCCAUCUUUGGUGGAUGACGGUACCUUCAGAGGAAGCCCCGGCCAAUUACGUGCCAGCAGCCGCGGUAAUACGUAGGGGGCGAGCGUUGUUCGGAAUUACUGGGUGUAAAGCGUGCGUAGGCGGCUAUGCAAGUCACAGGUGAAAGCCCUGCUCCCAAGGUAGGAAUUGCCUGUGAUACUGCACAGCUAGAGGACAAGAUGGGGAAGUGGAACUCUGGGGGUAGCGGUGAAAUGCGUAGAUACCCAGGGGAACGCCAGUAGCGAAAGCGGCUUCCUGGCUUGCUCCUGACGCUGAGGCACGAAAGCUAGGGGAGCGAUCGGGAUUAGAGACCCCGGUAGUCCUAGCCGUAAACGAUGGGGUACUAGGUGUGGGGGGAGCAUUACCCUCCGUGCCGAAGCUAACGCGUUAAGUACCCCACCUGGGGAGUACGGUCGCAAGGCUGAAACUCAAAAGAAUUGACGGGGGGCUGAACAAGCAGUGGAGCGCGUGGUUCAAUUCGAUGCAAAGCGAAGAACCUUACCAGGGUUUGACAUGCUGGUAGUAGCGACCUGAAAAGGAAGCGAUCCGGACUUUUGUUCGGAAGCCAGCACAGGUGGUGCAUGGCUGUCGUCAGCUCGUGCCGUGAGGUGUUGGGUUAAGUCCCUUAACGAGCGUAACCCUUGCCCUUAGUUGCUACCAGGUUCUUUUGAAUGCUGGGCACUCUAAGGGGACCGCCGCCUUAAAGCGGAGGAAGGUGGGGAUGACGUCAAGUCAUCACGCCCCUCAUGUCCUGGGCUACACACGCGCUACAAUGGUCAGUACAACGGGAAGCAACUUCGCGAGGAGGAGCAAAUCCCUUAAAACUGACCUCAGUUCGGAUUGCAGGUUGCAACUCAUCUGCAUGAAGCUGGAAUUGCUAGUAAUCGCGGAUCAGCUACGCCGCGGUGAAUACGUUCUCAGCCCUUGUACACACCGCCCGUCACACCACCCGAGUUGAAUGCACCCGAAGAUACUUGACUAACCGGCUUGCCGGAGGGAGAGUAUCCAAGGUGUGUUUGGCAAGGGGGAUGAAGUCGUAACAAGGUA
rnacentral:rRNA from 1 species